ACACUCAUAGUGUGUCACGAUGAUUUAAAUUUUUAAUCUUUUUUACGUCGAAAUCAUCAUAAAUAGCUUACAAAAGGAAUAUUGUUCACACAGUUGUUUCCCAUAAUCGACCUUUACCGCACCCGGAAGAGGCCAUCGAGUGGCUGGGGAAAGUUGAUGGAGUGCAUCGGAAGGAAGAAGGGAACCAAAAGAGAUGUGCUUAUCAUCUAAUCGGAGCAGCCACCACUAAAGCACUUGGGAAUGGAUCCCGCAGAAAAUCCCUUACAGCGACGGAAACCAUCAUCUGGGAGACAGUUUUCUGGAAGGCCAAAACAAAAAAAUAUCAACUGGCAUGAUGAAACAGGUGGCUGCAUCGAACGGAAGCAAAUCCGUACUGGAAGCUGGAGACUGUGAGGUCCAUAACAGAACCGAGCCGGCUUAGAAAAAACCCCUGAAAGAUAAUAAUCUUCGGUAACGAUCGCCCCCAAGGAACUGCAAC